AUCAGCAGCCAUAAAACAUAUGGGUUUUCUUCUCCACAGAAAAUUUCCUCUUCGAUCUCCAUUGUCAUUUUUCAUCCUUAUACAAGCUACCCAUAUUGGUGAAAAAGAUUCAAAAGGUCCUGAAAGUCCCAAAUCUAAGAAUCAAAACUCUAUCUCUCUAUUUAUGUUGCUCCCUUUCUCAGCUAGAUCUAUUUUUUCUCAAAAUCCCCCAAAUCACAAGAUUUAAAUCUUAGUUUCUCAAUUCUUAAUUGAAGGAACAACUUUGCUGCUCCGUUUCUUUGCUUCCAGUUAGUGACCCAAAAUCUCAAGUCAGGACUAUAAAGAGUUUCGCAUAAAAGAGUCAUCCAGAGCGUAUUUGGUAUUGUUAUUGUGGAUUCGAUCUUGACAGAACUCUCAGUUAUUUCUUUUUUUGGGAAAUGAAAGGAAUUGGACGAGGUAAAAGUGUGAGAGGCGGGACGAGCCGUGGACAUGACAAUUUUCGAGGACGUGGAAGUUCAGGAACGAUGUCUCAACCACAAAUACAACCAACAGAGAUUAACAAGGCAUCUUUGGAGAUAGGACAAUCAAGUAACCUAACUCAAGGACCUAUACAGACCGAACAAACAUCAAGUAGCCCUCUCCAAAGAACAUCUCUAGAGACACAAUCAUCAAGGAAUCUAGAAGAAAGUGUACUUCCCUCUCCAUAGGCUUCAAAUGGUGUAGUUUAUCGCAUCAAUAAAAAGAAAGUUGCAAGAAGAACUUAACCGGAAGUUGCAAGAAGAACAUGAACAAAUGGAUAUUGACUUAAAAAGGGAUAUGGAACAAGAUUUGCAAAACAAAUUGAAAGAGGAGCGUGCACACAUGAAAGGAGAAUUUGACAAGAUGUUCCAAGAACAAAUAGCUGCUUUCAUGACUAGAAUGCAACAGGGACGAGGUUCUUAAACAAUGGAGAAAACCAAAAAAAAGUUUGAAGGCGUGCAAUAGAAGUUUUUGGUCAUAUAUAAUAUGCAUAAAAUGAAAGUUUUUAUGUAAUAUGCAUACAAUGGAAGUGUUUGAUGAUAUGUAAUAUAUAUACGUUGGAAGUUUUUGCUUUUUUGGGUCAUAUGUAUAUGCAUAUAAUGAACCGAAGUACUAUGUCCAUAGUAUAUCUGUUGUUGACUUUUAAGUAAUGAAAGUAUUUAUCAUAUUUGGCUUGGAA